UAUAGGGCCCUAGUACACCAGCACUAGCAGUAGGGGUGCCAAUUCCAGUGUUGGAGGGGUCACUCAGAGUGAAGGUUUGUCCAUAUGCUGGGAAUCCCACAAUGAGCUUCUCAGGAGCGGCUCCAUUUUCAAUCCAACUAGAGCAGCUCCCAUUAUGCAGCAAAUGACAGUUAAUACAGACUCACAACUGGUGGAGUGUCCUGCUCUAAAUAGGCUAUCUGGAUCACACUCCACUUCCCCAAGACUCAGGGAACAUUGGAGAAAAAACCGACAAAGAAGUUGUACAAGACCUUCCUGAGCCAUUGUGACCCUGAAAUACCUUAGGUAGAAGUACUCUGGAAGCAGG